AUGAAAAUGCACGGUCUAGCUCUUAUUUACAACAUUUAAUCUUUUAACACUGAGUCGGAAAAGAAUUUAAAUAAAUUUCCUGUGGUAAUUUCUCUCCUGAAAUUUGAUUUUUUUCACUCAGUACCUUAUUUUCUCUCCACAGACAGUGAAGGCUCUCAGGCUCCCUCCUGUUUAUGAAGUUUGAAGGGAGCUUUUUCCUUCAUCAGCCUUCACCGCCCAUCGACCAUCGUAGCACUGAAUACAGAUUGGGGAUUCAAUAAAUGCUACUGAAUAAUACUUCCUUGACAUCUUCAGGCUGGUGAUCUUUACCAAAGCAGGUAAGCCAAUAAAGGAAGAGCCCAAUGGUCAUCAAGCUACAUCUGUGGUCUCCUUACUUUAUGAUCAGAUAGAAUCCAUCUCCCGGUGUUCCCAUGGUGGAUAUCAGGAAUAAUGAUGUCCUAAGGCUUUCUAGAGUCACAGGUAGAAGAAGUCUUGGACCCCUCAGUCACCACACGGAAGAGUUACAGCCAAUCAAAAAUAUUUACCUUGAAGUUUAUUUAUUUGUUCACUUAUAUUUUGUGAAUAAAAAUAAACUUCAGUUUUAUUUUUGCUGUUGAACAUUUUUGGACCUCUUUGUCACAGCUAUUUGGUCUAACCCAAAUGAUACACCCAAUGUUUGUGAGCUGAUGCAACCUUGUCUGUCGGAUUACAUUGGACCUGCCACAGAGAACAAUUAUGAUUGCUGUUAUGAUUUGGAUAUGAAGUGUCCCCCCAAAGACUCCUGUGUUGAAGGCUUGGUCCCCAACGAAGCAAUGUGCAGAGGUCAGACUUUCCGGAAGUGAUUGGAUCACAAGGGGGUAUGACAUCAUUGGUGAAUUAAUCCACUGAAAGCUGAAAUGGACUACUGUGAGAUGAAGGAAACUGUAGGUAGGCUGCGCAUGGUUGGAGGAAGUAGGUCACUGGAUCCAUGCCUUUGGGGACUCUGUCUUGUCUCUGGACACUUCUUCCCCCCUCUCUUUCUGCUUCCCUGCCUCGAUGAGCUGAGCAGCUUUCCUUUGCCAUACCUCAGGCCAAGAAUGAUGGAACCAGCCAACCAUGAAGUGAAACCUCUAAAACCAUGAGACAAAAUAAAUUUUUACUCUGUUAUUACUGUCA